UACGUAGGGGGCAAGCGUUGUCCGGAUUCAUUGGGCGUAAAGAGCGUGUAGGCGGCCAGGUAGGUCGGUUGUGAAAACUGGAGGCUCAACCUUCAGAGGUCGGCCGAAACCAUCUGGCUAGAGUCCGGGAGAGGAGAGUGGAAUUCCUGGUGUAGCGGUGAAAUGCGCAGAUAUCAGGAAGAACACCCGUGGCGAAAGCGGCUCUCUGGAACGGUACUGACGCUGAGACGCGAGAGCGUGGGGAGCGAACAGG
rnacentral:rRNA from 1 species